rnacentral:rRNA from 1 species
AUUGAACGCUGGCGGCAGGCCUAACACAUGCAAGUCGAACGAGUGGCGGACGGGUGAGUAAUGUCUGGGAAACUGCCUGAUGGAGGGGGAUAACUACUGGAAACGGUAGCUAAUACCGCAUACCAUCGGAUGUGCCCAGAUGGGAUUAGCUUGUUGGUGGGGUAACGGCUCACCAAGGCGACGAGCCCUAGCUGGUCUGAGAGGAUGACCAGCCCAACUGGGACUGAGACACGGUCCAUACUCCUACGGGAGGCAGCAUUGGGGAAUUUUGGACAAGGGGGGAAACCCUGAUCCAGCCAUCCCGCGUGUAUGAUGAAGGCCUUCGGGUUGUAAAGUACUUUUGGCAGGGAAGCGGUAUCUGUAGAAUAAGCACCGGCUAACUACGUGCCAGCCGCCGCGGUAAUAC